rnacentral:rRNA from 1 species
CCUACGGGCGGCAGCAGUGGGGAAUAUUGGGCAAUGGGCGCAAGCCUGACCCAGCAACGCCGCGUGAAGGAAGAAGGCUUUCUGGUUGUAAACUUCUUUUAAGAGGGAAGAGCAGAAGACGGUACCUCUUGAAUAAGCCACGGCUAACUACGUGCCAGCAGCCGCGGCAAUACGUAGGUGGCAAGCGUUGUCCGGAUUUACUGGGUGUAAAGGGCGUGCAGCCGGGAAGACAAGUCAGAUGUGAAAUCCCGCGGCUCAACCGCGGAACUGCAUUUGAAACUGUUUUUCUUGAGGACCGGAGAGGUCAUCGGAAUUCCUUGUGUAGCGGUGAAAUGCGUAGAUAUAAGGAAGAACACCAGUGGCGAAGGCGGAUGACUGGGCGGCAACUGACGGUGAGGCGCGAAAGCGUGGGGAGCAAACAGGAUUAGAUACCCGAGUAGUC